rnacentral:rRNA from 1 species
GGUAGCCGGCCUGAGAGGGCGACCGGCCACACUGGGACUGAGACACGGCCCAGACUCCUACGGGAGGCAGCAGUGGGGAAUAUUGGGCAAUGGACGAAANUCUGACCCAGCGACGCCGCGUGAGGGAUGAAGGCCUUCGGGUUGUAAACCUCUUUCAGCAGGGAAGAAGCGAAAGUGACGGUACCUGCAGAAGAAGCACCGGCUAACUAUGUGCCAGCAGCCGCGGUAAUACAUAGGGUGCAAGCGUUGUCCGGAAUUAUUGGGCGUAAAGAGCUCGUAGGUGGUUAGUUACGUCGGAUGUGAAAAUCUAGGGCUCAACCCUAGACCUGCAUCCGAUACGGGCUAGCUUGAGUUUGGUAGGGGA